UAGCCUAGUGGUUAAGGCUACGAAUCGCCAAUCCGGAGACAGCGGGUUCGAUUCCCGU
rnacentral:tRNA from 1 species